GGGCCCGCACAAGCGGUGGAGCAUGUGGUUUAAUUCGAUGAUACGCGAGGAACCUUACCAGGGCUUAAAUGUAGUAUGACCGGCUUGGAAACAGGCCUUCUCUUCGGAGCAGAUUACAAGGUGCUGCAUGGUUGUCGUCAGCUCGUGCCGUGAGGUGUUAGGUUAAGUCCUGCAACGAGCGCAACCCCUAUUCUUAGUUGCCAGCGGUUCGGCCGGGGACUCUAAGAAGACUGCCAGCGCAAGCUGAGAGGAAGGUGGGGAUGACGUCAAAUCAUCACGGCCCUUACGUCCUGGGCUACACACGUGCUACAAUGGUAGAGACAGAGGGUUGCGAAGCUGCGAGGUGGAGCGAAA
rnacentral:rRNA from 1 species